GUUUGUGGGGUUAGGUUUUAAAUUUUGUGGUUUAAAAUUUAAUUGAUAGAGUUUAGAGUUUAGUUUUUAUGGCUUAGUUGUAUAUAUAGUACAUACAUACAUAUUAAAUUAUAUACUUUGAAAUAGAGGAAAAUUUUGCAAUCCUUCUUACCAGUUGGCCAAAACAUGCAUGUAAUUAUCUAGAAUGACAAAAUAAGCAAUUUUUUAGACCAAAAAAAAAAAAAAAAAAAAAAAGAAGCAAUAUUUCCUUAAAAACAAAAAUUUGCAAAAACAAAUGUGAAACUUGGAACAAUUUUUGUUCCAUGAUAAAUCUUAUCAUAACUUUUUUUUUCUUCAAAUCUUAUCAUUACUUUACCAAAAACAAACCUUACUAUUGUAAAACAAUCAUCAUGUAAAUAAUCAUCAUCGUAACAAAGAAGAGUGUCCAUAGCUCUAUGGCUUGCUACUUUCCAUUGUGAUUCAGUUAUAAAGCAACAUUCAUUGUAAAAAACAUUUUUAGGUUUGAAUAAAUUUUACAUUCAAUUCAAGAAAAAAUAUUUAAAUAAAUCGUUAGUACACGUUCGCACUAAUUCUCAUGAUUGGAGAUUUUUAACUCUUCACUUAACCGAUAUGUAUAGUUCUAAACAGCCAAGAUUAAAAUAAGUAAAACGAACGAUUUCACAAACAAACAAUUGAAUCGGCAAAAUCCCAAAAAAAAAUAAAACUUACGCAUCUAAAUUAUUAACAUAACCCAAACUGCCAAACACAAAAUACAUUGUGAUUUGUGAACGUAUUCAUAUUUUAGACAGCUAUAUUAGAGUGAGAAAAAUCAUUUUUCUUCCGGAAAAAGCUGGUUUACUCUUUCUUAAAGUCAAUAAGAACAUUUGUCCUCAAAGAAAUAUCAUAUUUUUCAACGAUGAUAGGACCAAAAAUAGUUAAAUCCGACAACAAAACAAGAUUAUUUCGAACUUCUUCAAAAGAAACAACGAAAAAUAAACUUGUUAAAGAGGGCAUGCAAUUUGAUUGGGCAGCUAUUUAAUACUUUUCGUAUUUAGCAUGUCACGCGAUUAAACGUCAAUGUCAUUAUAAUUGUUGAUAUUUUAAUUAGUUAUCUAUACAGCAAGAUAUUAUUAAGCAAGUUCUUCGAGAUACUUUUAAAAAGCAUAUUCAUUUGUAGUUUUCUACAUAUUUGACAUAAAUAAAUAAAAUGAAAACUUUAUGAACAAUAUCCACAUUUAGAUAUUUUUAAAAUCUGUCAUUUUUUUAAAUAUGUUUAAAUUAUAUCUAUUUGUAUUUUGCAUUUGAAAAUAACCAUCAUGAUGAUUUUGUUUUAAACUAUUUCUUAAUUUUAGUAGAAGUGUUAGAUGGUAGAUAAUUAAUAAUUCUCAAAAGAUUAAAAAUUUUAAGAAGUAAAUUAUUAUGCUCAUAAUUUGGUAAUGUUUUCCUCUUAACAUUUUUUUUAAUGAAAUGUAUAAUUUAUUCAACCAAAAAAUGGUGUUUACAAUAUAUGUCCUUGAAUGAAUGAUUUCCUCUUAACGUCUCUAAGUAAUAUUAAUCAUUUCAUUACCUAUAGAUUCUAGAUUAUAUUAGUAGUGUCAACCAUCUUUGAUCUCUCUACUCAUCUUUGCGACUAUAUUUGUAUUUAUCUUUGCAAGACUCCAAAUUCCCCAGUCCCUACAUACAUCCAUUUGCUUCUGUCAUUGAGCUUAAUGUAACCCACAUUCACAGCAUCACGACUCGCAAGUCAUACAAUCCGAACGGAAACUUUCAAUUCGUAUGAAAGUUAUAAAACCGGUUAUUAAAACAAAACCCAUUCUUUAAAGUUCUGAUCAUCCAAAUUCUAGGUGUUAUAUGUUCAUACAAAGCUUGAUAUGCGAAUUUAUAACUUGGCUCGGAUGAGAAACGAAAUUCUAUGAAAAUAUUGAAAAAGAAAAAAAUAUUUAGGCUACAAAGGGAUGACAUAUAGUUGAAUGAUUGAAAAUUUUUGAGUUGAACAAAACAAAGCUGAACAUCGUUCAACUCAUUCUUCUGCGAAAUAGUAGAAGAAAGGGUUGAAAAGUUUUCCUUUAUAAUUUGUUCAUUUUUUCAUAUUUUUUUUGUUGAAUGAGUUGAAUUAAUUUUCCAACAUAUUCAUUUCAAAUGGUAAAAAUUGAGAUGAAUAAUCAUUCAACAUCUCGGCUAGAAGAUAUAGUAAUUCAUUAUCUAAUUUAAAACACUAGUAAAUCUACAGGAUCUUGAACUCGAGAUGAUAAGUUUCAAAACAGGGGAAGAAGAAGCAGAGUUACAGGCUUGUAUAUCAAAUUUUUAUAAUACCAAAACCUCUCCGAAUAAAAGACUACAUCAAUACCGAAUUAACCAGUUUCCAAUAUCGCGGUUAUGCUACAAACCGACUUAAACCGAGUUAUGAAUUAAUUAUUUUUUCAUCAGUACCACUCCUUCAAGGAUCAAGUACACUUAAUAAUAAAUCAGUGGGACAUGAACACUAGUGAAGCAUCAAAACGUUACUUCAAUAAUUGAUUUCGGUUCAAAGCUUCAUUGAUUUCAGUUUAAGCUUUUCAUUUAUGAUUGAUUUCGGUUCAAAGUUUCAUUGAUUUCAGUUUAAACUUUUCAUUACACAAACUUUCGGUGAUAGGCCAAUGAAAGAACAUAAACAUCAUUGCACCUUAAUUGACAUGAUCACUCAAACUCUCUAGGACAAACAUGAAGAAACUUUAAAUUUCAACUAAACCUCAAUCUUGGAGAAUGGUCUACUCAUAAUUUUCGUGUUUUAAAUACAUUAUUAAGAUUAUUGGAAAUUGUCGUUUAAAGGAUGGGUUAAAGAAAACUCUUAAACUAAUCUCGAGACAUGUAAUCGUUAGGAUAAUCUCACAAAGGUCAAGAGUUUUUUUUUUACUAUAAAUCAAUUCUCGAAGAAAACAAUAGCAUUCUACAGCAAUCUGAAGAUUGUAAUAAGAAUCUAAAUGCAAGAAUUUGAAAAUGAGACGUUGCUUACGAAAUUUCUUUCAUUAAAAUUUCGUUGAAAUAGAAAUAGAAAUAGAUUGCUACAGAAGCAUACAAAGCUUGGAAGGCGGGGGACAACGUUUACAAACAAAAUGAAAAACUAUAAAAAUCUCACACAUUUAUUUUUUCUCUUUAACAAAUUAAGAUUGAUACAUAAACUAUACCUUACAUGCAUUUAUUCAAACUAUAAUAAAUUUCGAAGACGAUAUUGUGCACUGGCAUCGCAUCGUAUGCAUAAUGGAUAUUGCUCAAGCACAUUGGAAACCAGAUGGAAGCUUUCUGUUACAAACGUUGAGAAGAACGCUGAGAGAUAUCGGAACGUUAAGGUUGAUACCAAGAACGUUAGCCCUCAGAGCAGUGCAUAGACAAAUCGCAGCGUCGACGUCAACCAAACCUUGGAUGAGCGAGCAACAUUGUUGAGAGGAUGGCUGUCCCAACUGGAUGUUGAGUAGACUGCUUAAGACAUUUGCACAUACACCGAGCUUGAGAGCAUCAAUAGGACAGCUGUUUCCGGAUGAACCAGGGGUGCGUGGAGGUGUGACCGGCCUAGGAUUAGGACUUGGGACUGAAGGACGGGGUGGAGGAGGACAUUGGACCGGCUUGGGCUUAGGACUUGGGACUGGCUUUGGUUUAGGACUUGGCUUGCAGUUGCAAUUUGUUGCAACGGUUAAGGUGAAAAAGAGGAUGUUGAGCGCAAAGAAAAGAGCAAGAGAGGCUGAGUUCUUUGAAGCCAUUUGUUUUUUUUUUCAAAGUUAUAUUCGGUGUUGUAAGGGUUAUUGAAUAAAUAGAUAUGAAGAGAAGAUGUUGGUAUUUAUAGGAUUUUAGAAGGAUGGGAAGAGGACCAACUUGAUUUAGUUUAAAAUUUAUUUAUAGAUAUUUGUAAUUAUUUGUAUAUAUAUAUAUAUAUAUAUAUAAAUUCUGACCAUUUUUCCUAUAUGCAUGUAGCUAGGUACGUAGAACCUUGAAAUUAUUUGGAUUUUGUUUUUUGUAAACCAUUUUAAAAUUAAGAAAAUACUUUAUAUAUACGUGCAUUCAUAUAAGUAUUAAUGUCAAGUUGUCAAUGCUGUUAUUAUCAACACCAUCAUGAGUUCGUGGAUGCACAAGAUAUUCAGAUUUAUCUUGGUUCGUAGCUCUUUUACUUGACGGCUUCUAUACGUCAGGUCGAGUAAUAUAAUAAAUUCCUAGUGUAGUUAUAAUCAAGCUGAGCCCGGCCAUGGAGACACACCCAAAGUAUUUAGAAACUUACUCGAAAAUUUGUGAUAUGUAUAUAAUAUAUGAUUAAUAUAUAUGUAAUGUUUAUGAAUUUAAUUAAGAUUCUUUAAUGCAUAAAUUAUGAAGACAUUAAAAUCCUCCUACAUGAUUCGGUUUUUAGGGGUGUGUAUCAAGAACCCACAAAUUUGUUCUCUAUGCAAAAGGUUAAAACAGAGCGGUCGAGCAAUUAACUAGGACAAUAUCAUGGAAACCGCAACUCAUCAAUUUUGAUUGUUUUUUUUUGUUAUUUUUUUUUAACAUGGUUUACUAAAUAGUUAGGUUAGUUUCAUGAUUUAAUUAUUUAAAUCAAACCAUGGUUUGAGAACAAAUAUGUUUAAUUAUAUAUAAAGAACUACGAAAUUUUAACAUUUUAACAUUUUGAUUCUUGGUAGUGUCCCCACAUACAUCCAUUUGCUUCUGUCGUUGAGCUGGUUUACUGUUUCUCAAAAUCAAUAAAAACUAUUCGUCCCAAAAGAACAUUUCAUCUUUGAUUCUUGAUUGAAUCCCCACCAAGUGGUUUUCACCUAGAUACAUCCAUUUAUGAGUCUUGUAUACACCGAAACAACUAUAUAUGUCUUGCAUGCCUUAAAUAACUUCAUGGUCAUAUGCAUAUGUAUAUAACUUCAUAUAUGAUCUACUGGGAAAAAAGGCCGAGACGGUUUUGGUAUGCUGCUCAAUGAGGCGAUUGCGUGUAUUGAGGCCACACAAUAAUCAAUAAUGUGUAUUAAGCAAUUCAUUAUGUAAACGUUUAAUAUGUAACUAUCAAAAUCCUAUAUAUCUAUUGUACGGUUUGAACCCUUCGUGUAUGUAUAUUGGUCUCAGUAAGUAACAUUAAUACAAUAAUUUAAAUUCAUAUUUUUAUUUUUGGCUGAGCUCAAAGACGUGUUUGUUGUCGGCUAAGACUAGAUAUUUUAUAUUUCUACUCAACAUUAUUCAUCCAUAAGAAUCGUCUUAUGUUAGAUGUUGACGAUUAUAAUUUCUAAAUAUGUUUCGAGUUUACGUAGGAAUUGACGCUGUGACUCUGUGAGGUCCAAAUAUAAGCAAAAAUAUUAGUGGUUCCAAAUAAAGUCAACCCGAUGACGACUGAUUAAUCCUAAUCGCUCAUUUUCGUUUUUUUGUAAGAAUUCGUUGAAUCCUCCUCAUCAUAAAGAACAAAAAAAAACAUUUUUUCACGACGUUUGUCAAAAAGAAGAGAUGUGUUUGCAUGUUUUGUCAAACUACAAGCAAAUUGCGAUAUAGUACCUUAGAAGUUAUAACUAUAUGAUAGUGCAUGUAUACAUGAACUUGUCACUGUCAAGUCCUAUCGAUAUCUAAUAGAUGUACGUAAAGAAACUUUGUGUGUUUCAAGUUUUAGCUUUUGGAGUUAGGGUUUAGGAUUUGUAGCUUCAAAUUUAAUGUUUAGGAUUUGCAGUAUAGUUUUUACUUUUAGGGUUAAGUUUGAUGUAGUGUACAUUGAAGAUCAACAAUAACUACGUUUAUGAUAGAGAAAUAAAAACAGAACUAUCUGUAGUAAUUUUCGUUUUUAUAUACAAAAACAUCAAUUUGGUUUAAGAAAAAAAUAAUUAUUUUCUUGAAACAAAUCUUCAGUGAAUCUAAAGGUACCUUAAAAGUUUCAUAUAUCUUAUUAUAUAAAGUAUGGUUUUUAAAAUUACUAACUCAUAAGAUUAUGCCAUGUGUCAAGUCUAUCGAUCAGAUGUUGACACGUGUAAGAAAAUAAUUAACUUUUUUCUUCUUAAAGAAAUAGAAAUACUAAAAAAGAAAUCAAUUAACUUUUUUCUUCUUAAAGAAAUAGAAAACUAAAAAAUAAAUCAUUAUUAACAUAUACUAAUUUAUAUGUCUAUAUGACUAUAUCUAAAAAAUAUUACAUUUUGUUUUUCUUAACCAAAAGAAAAAUUAACCAAAAAUAUUUAUAUAUGUUAUUGGUCAAAUUUUUAAUAUGUAUGGUAUUAAAAAAAAAUUUAUUAUUAUUAUUUAUGGUUUGUUAAUUGUUAAUAAUUUUUAAUAUUAACUAAGAUAUAGAUUUGAUCUCAUAUAUAUAUUAUUUUGACAUGAAAUCAUUAUCAAGUAAGAUGAAGUGUGUAGAAUUAAAAUCGAGUUUUUUAUGAAAUAGAUAGUUAAAUUGUAUACAAAAUUGAAUAUGUAAGAUAAAAAUUUGUUUUUUUCUUCUAAAUACUAAAUUAUAAUAAAGAAAAAGUGUGUAGGUUACUAUUUAGACUUCAAAUAUCAUCAAUAAGAUUGAAUGGGUAUAAUAAAAUAAAAUGCAUAAGACUACUAUUUUACUAUUCAAAAUUAUAUAUCAAGAACAAUGUAUAGAUUAUUAUUUUACUAUUCAAAAUUUAAAUAUUAUCGAUAAAAAAUUACAGUUACAUCUUACACCCGCCUAUUUAGACGGGCCUUAUCUAGUAUUAUAUAAGAGCUAGAUAUAUAGCAUAUAAUGAUAUUUUGUUUUAGUAGUUGUAUUUAAGAAAAUAACUACUAUACAUAGAUAACGUUUUUAAAAGUUAUUUCUCAAUGUUGUUAGAUUUAUUUUAUGGUAUACGAUUAGUAAUUACGAAACUUUAAAUUUUUCGAAUUAGUAAGUUAUUAUGCUCAUAUUUUGGUACGUUUUUCUCUUAACAUUUCCGAGUAAUAAAACUAAUUGUCAUUCAAUUUACAGUACUAGAUUAUAUUAGUACUGUAAACCAUCUUGUUCCGUUCUAUGAUUCAUUCUUUGCGACUAUAUUUGUAAAAUAUCUUUUGCAAGACUCCAAAUUUUCCAGUGUCCCCACAUACAUCCAUUUGCGUCUGUCAUUGAGCUUAAUGUAUGUAACUCACAUUCACAUCAUCACGGGUCAUAAAACCCCGAACAUGAACUUCUAUUGGUAUGAAUGUUAAAACUGAUGAUAACAAAACAAAACAAAAAACAUUUUCUUUAAAUUUCCAUCAAGUAAUUCUAGAUGAUAUUGACAGAUAUAUUUAACGUUCAUAAAAAGUUGUUGAAAAUUUACUAAUCAGUAAUCACCUCAUGUGUUGAUCGAGUUCAGUUAAUUCACUAUCAAGAAUAUACAACAUGCGUAGCUUUACUCUACAAGUUCUUGAACUCGUGAUGAUGGAGUUUCAAAACAGAGGAAGAAGAAGCAGAGUUACAAGCUCUUAUAUCCAAUUCUUAUAAUAGUAAACCCUUCAUCCGAAUAAGAGGCUCUCUCUUAACCCUCGAUACCGCAUUAACCAGUCUCCCGUUUUCUGGUUAUGUUUUAAUCUAAACCGAGUUAACCGGAGUUCUAAACGAAUCACUUCUUCAACAGUACCGCUCAUUCAUGGAUAAAAUAGAUUAGGCAAAGACUUGAUUUCCGGUUCAAAGUUUUAGCUAAAAAUGGGUUCAUGGCCAUCCAUAUUAUUUUUCAAGAUCUCUCGGUCUUGGGCUAAUGAUUUAAUGAAACCACAUAAACAUGAUCACUCAAACCGUAUUUCACCCGGAAAAAAAAAGGAAGAACAAAUCAACUUAUGUUUGGUUGAUAAUGGUCCACUCAUAAUUUAAUGUUUUAAAUACAGUUUUAGAUUACGGAAGAUCAUGGUUUAAAGGGAAAAUUCAAACUAAGCUCGAGAUAUGUAAUCGUUAGGUUAAUAUCACGUACAAUGAUCAAUAGUUUUUUCUUAAGCAGAAAUCAACUAUUUCGUAAACAAAAAAAAACGUAUUCUACAGAAUGAAUAUGUCAAUUUAAAGAUUUAAAUUAUAAUUUGUAACGCAAGAAUUUGAAAAUGAGUACAAAAUCUCUUUUAUUAAACGGGUUGAAAAUAGUAAUAGAUUGCUACAAAAGCAUACAAGACCGGAAUACAGGAACGUUGACGGAAAAAAAAAACUAAGAAAGUCUCACUCUCACACAUUGGUUAUUUCACUUUAACAAAUUCAAAAUUUAAAACAUAAACUCUAUAGCUUACAUGCAUUUAUUCAUACUGUAACAAUUUCGAAGAAGAUAUUUGUGCACGGGCAUCACAUCGUAUGCAUAGCUGAUAUCCUUCAAGCACAUUGGAAGCCAGACGGAACCUUUCUGUUACAAACGUUGAGAAGAACACUGAGAGAUAUCGGGACGUUAAGGUUGAUACCAAGAACGUUAGCCCUAAGCGCAGUGCAAAGACAAAUGGCAGCGUCGAGGUCAACCAAACCUUGGAUGAGCGAGCAACAUGGUUGAGCUGAUGGCUGACCCAAUUGAAUGUUGAGUAGACUGCUUAAAACGUUCGCACAUACACCGAGUCUGAGAGCAUCGAUAGGACAGUUUCCAGAUGAGCCAGGGGUUCUCGGAGGCGUGACCGGCCUAGGGUUAGGACUUGGGACCGAAGGACUUGGUACUGAAGGACUUGGGACCGGCUUGGGUUUGGGACUUGGGACCGGCUUGGGUUUAGGACUUGGGACAGGCUUGUGCUUAGGACUUGGGUUGCAACCACAAUCUGUUGCAGCGGUUAAGGUGAAGAAUAUGAUGUUAAGGGCGAAGAAAAGAGCAAUAGAGGCUGAGUUCUUUGAAGCCAUUUUUUUCUUUCAAAAGUUUGUUUUAAGGAUUUAUUCAGUGUCUUUGAGAGAGUGAGAGAUGAAGAUAUAUGAAGAGAGGGUGUGGGUACUUAUAGGGUUUUAGAAGGAUGUGAAGAGGACCAACUUGUUCUAUUAUAUUUGAUUAUUCACAUAUAUUUGCAAUUCUACAAAAUAUCUGUUUAUUUAUUUAUUUGCCCUUAUCUACAUAUACAAAUUCUGACCUUUCUACUUUCCUUUAUGUAGAUUCGUAGAACCUUGAAUUAAUUUAGACAUUAAUCGUUUUUGUAAAACAUUUCUAUUUAAGAAAUAAAUAUGAUUUGUGCGUUCAUAUUACUAUUAUUUUCAAAUUGUCAAUGCUGUUAAUCUGUUAUUAUCACCACCAUCAUGAUGGUUCAUGACCUCAUUGCACAUACCUUCAGAUUCUCUUUGGAUCGUAGCCAUUUUACUUGAGAGCUUCUAUACGUUAGUCUAGUGGUCUUAGUACAUUCGAGAGGAAGUUGUGCUCUACACUCUUUUCCGAGAGGAUGUGUUUUAUCACAAACUGGUCCCAGAAGAGGAAGACAUGCUAACAAAAUUCUCGAACUUCCUCGGAAAAAAAUGUUCAAUGUGAAUGUUUUCAAAAUUUUGGAUCCUCUUAUGCAUAAAUAAGAGGACAUCAAAGCCCUGGAUGAAUCAGGUUUGUCUAUAUGCAUGGUUGUGUCAUUUGUGACGUAAAGCAAACAGUAUGAAUACAAAUUAGAUCUCAUAUGGAUUAUAUAUGACUAAUCCCAACUUGCAAGAGAAUUUAGACAAGAACAUCUCAAUUUUUUUUUCCAAUGUUGGUUAGAACAAUUUGUAUUGAUUUAUUUCUUGCAUUUGAGAUUUGAAAUUACAAAGUUCGAUGAAGAAGAGGUUUGCGGUUGGCUAAAACAACCCGUGAGAUGACAUCCACGAGAGAAUAGAGUGAUCCGGCGAUUUACUUAAUAAUUCUAAGAAGGUUUACACGAUAGUUAGUUUAGUUUCCUAAUUUGAUAAACUGCUGUUAUUUAAAAUCAAUCCAAUGUUAUUUUCUGUUCCAUUUAGAUGUAGAACUAACUUUGAGAAAAUAUGUUCACAUAUAAAAAAACAAAGGAAUCUAAAUUAUGGGUAUUAUAACCAAAAUUAAACAUGAAUGAAACUAAGAUGUGAACAUAUGAAUAUUUUAGAGUAGCAGAAUCAUUUGAUUUUCCGGAAAAGGCUGGAUAUAAUGUUUAUAAAAGUCAAUAAUAAAUUUUGUCCUGAAAGAAAAUAUCUUUUUUUUUUUAGCAAUGUUAGGACAAAAAUAUAUAAAACUCAAUUAAAAUAACAUUUGGAACUUCUUAAAAAGAAACCAAUAACAAGAAAAAAAUAAAACAGUGAUAUAUAUAUAAGGUUUUACUGUGCAUAUAUCUAUUUUAUACCUUCACAGUAACUAUUAUUCAACAUGCUUUAACGCCAAUUCAUUUCAUAACUAUAAAUAUUUGCAUGAUCAACUAUGAAACUGCUUAUUAAAACAAAAUGCUACGCCAAAAAUUAGGCCAUAAAUGUUUUAUAGUUUUUUAUGGGUUUUUAGUUUUUGGUUUGUAGUUUUUGGUUUCUGAUUUUUGUAGUUUUUGAUUUUUGAUAUAGAUUUUAGUUUUUGCAAAAUAUUGAAUAGUAAUUUGUUUAGUUUUUAGGUUUUUGACAUAAUUAUUAUUUUUCAAACGUUUUUAGUUUUGAAUAAUUUGAUAAAUGGUAAAAGUAACAUUUAAAAUAAUAAACAAAAUUGAAAAAAAAAUGUCACGUAAAUGUUUUUUAAAACCUACAAAAUUUGGUUUUUGGAUUUUUUGAAGAAAUAAGCAAAAUCUUCUAAAAUCUGGUUUCCCUAUUUUCUAAAAAUCUACUUUUUUUAAAAUCAUGAAUUGAUAAAUAUUUAGUUUUUGCAAAAUCAAAAUCUAAAAACUAUCCUAAAAACUGCAUCCAUUCAAGGCCUUAAUUUGCAAUUACCACUCUUUUGAAUUGCGCUCUCCAACUAGAAGACGUCUCCAAGUAAAACGAUUUACUGUUACAAACCAAAUUGGGUUUUCCGAACCAAACCAGAAUUUGAGGGUUUGAGUUAUUUUCUCUAAUUUUUCUAACCAAUAUUACUGAUUAAACCAGAUUUUACAAAAUUGUACAAACUUUUCUUAAAAUUUUUUCAAACCAAACCGAACCUAAAUUCUUAUGGAUCUUAGAUAAAUAACCGUAUGAAAUUAACCGAUAACCGAACCAAAUUUUGAUUCCGUUUUAUUAAAUAACCUUACCUCCUAACCGAAUUACUCAAAAACCGACUAUCCAAAUUGAACCAGAACCGUUCGGUCCAAAGUCGUAGGCCUAUAAGUAGUAAAUGUAGCAUACUAUCUUCUUCGGAAAUUUCAAUAUCUCCAAUCAAGUUUAAAUUUUGAUUAUCAAAGGCUGAACAAAGAAUUAAUCAUUGGUAUGUUCAACUACACUACAGUUUUGGAGAAAUAUCAAAUCAUACAAUCUUGAUUUCAUUGAUUGGAAGGUAUAGUAACUAGUACAACAAAAAGCUGCAGCUGGCUAUAGAACUGUCAUAAAUAUCGUAGUUUGACUAGAUUUUAGUUUUGGAUUCUACUCAGAACCUCAUUUUGUCAAUUUGGCUUAAAUAUACACGAAAUAUUCUCAUCCAAAAUUAUAAAGGAAAAUAUUUGUAUACAGAAAAUUACAUGAAAUAUUUGAAUACUAGACGCUUUUUUUUUCUUUUUUUGACAACAAAUAAAAUGGACUAUGAAACGUCUUUCAUUUAAACAAUAAAAGUUACAACAAAAACAUAUAUGCGCGGAAAAAGAUAACGCCUCACACUUAAACAAAAGAUUGAAACAUUGAACCCUUAACUUGCAUACAUGCAUGCAAUUAUUCAAACUGUGAUUAUUUUAAAGAGUAAACUGUGUGCGUCGUAUGUGUAAUUGAUAUCCCUCAAGCACAUUGGAAAUUAGACGGAAGCCUUCUGUUGCAAACGUUGAGAAGAACACUGAGAGAUAUAGGAACGUUAAGGUUGAUGCCAAGAACGUUAGCCCUAAGAGCAGUGCAUAGGCAAACCGCAGCGUCAAGGUCAACCAAACCUUGAAUGAGUGAGCAGCAUGGUUGAGGUGAUGGCUGUCCCAACUGCACGUUAAGUAGACCGCUUAGCACAUUCGCACAUACACCGAGUCUGAGAGCAUCGAUAGGACAGUUUCCGGAUGAACCAGGGGUUCUCGGAGGAAUGACUGGCGUAGGGUUAGGACUUGGUACGGAAGGACUUGGGACCGAAGGAGUUGGUACGGAAGGACUUGGGACCGAAGGAGUUGGAACAUAUGGACUUGGGACCGAAGGAGUUGGGACCUUAGGACUUGGGACCUUAGGAUUUGGGAGCGGCCUAGGCUUAGGACUCGGGUUGCAUCUACAAUUAGUACCAGCGGUUAAGGUGAAAAAAAGGAUGUUGAGGGCAAAGAAAAGAGCAAGAGAGGCUGAGUUCUUUGAAGCCAUUGUUAUGGAGAAUGUUUGAGUGAGAGAUGAAGAAAAUGAAGAGAGGGUGUGGGUAUUUAUAGGAUUUUAGAAGGAUGUGAUCAUAUGAAGAGGACCAACUUGUUUUACUUACAGAACAAUUCAUUAAUGAAGUCAUGGCCUCAUUGCACAUUUCAAUUAUUAUUUUUAGGGCUGUCAACAAAAAUUAAUUGUUUACCAAUAGUUUAAUAAAAUUACGCUUUUUAUCAAAUUAAAUGUUUAUUUCUUUAAUCAAAUUAAAUUUUUAUUUUAUAAUUAAAAUUACAUUACAAUAUUACGUAAAUAAAAAUAAAAUAAAAAGUAAAUACAUUUUUGUUUAAACAUCAAUAUAUUGUUUCGACAUCAUAUGGCAAAGUGAGAAAUGAGAUCCUUUAAACUAGUUUUAAAGAUACAGUUAUUUUUAGUGUAUAUAUAAAAAACAUAUAUAUAUAAGAUUUGUUUUGAUAUAAAAUGAAAACAUAUAAAUUUAUUUCUAGUAUAAAAUAUAAACAUAAAAUUUGAAGGAUCACAUUAUAAACAAAAAAUAUUCCACUACUCCAAACUGAAGGAUAAAUUGGGUUACCCUAAAUUGUUCCUUACUCCAUAUUUGUUCACCACAAUAUUAAAAAUAUGUCCUUUAUAAAUGAGUAAUAGUUAAAAAAAUAUACCAUUGAAAUUUCUCUCCAAACCGGUCGUAAUAAACAACCCAAAAAUUACAAAUCCUGGUUGAAUUUUGAUGCUAUGUUAUGUAUACACAGGGUUCACUCGAUCGAUAGUUUAGUUUCCUACUUUGAUAAAGUGAUACUUAAAACAAAACUGAUUAUACUGUUCUAUCAAAAUGUAAUUCUAACUUUGAGAAAAUAUGUCAUGAGCAUAAUCCAAUUAAAAACAUGUACGAUGUGAACAUACUCAAAAUAUAGAGUAACGCAAAAUCAUUUGAUUUCCCGGAAAAUGCAGAUUUAAUGUUUCUUAAAGUCAAUAGUAAUAUUUUUGUCCCGAAAGAAAAAUCUCAUCUUUUUAGCAAUGCUAGGACAAAAAGAAAAGCAAAAAAAGAUAGAGCUAAUAUUUGCACCGAAAGAAAAUAUAAUCGUUUCAGCAAUGCGAAGACAAAAAGAAAAACAAAAGUCAAUUAAGAGAAUAUAUAACAUUUGGAUUCUUCAAACGAAAUGAAGAACAAGAAAAACUAACACGGUGAUAUGGACACAUUUAAUAGUUUAAUAUAUAGUUUUAAAGAAAAUCAUACAAAAAGUUAUAUUUAUUAUUUCAAGUGGUUAUCUUUCCACCACGGUCGUACGUGGGAAUAGUAUUAAGAGUAUUAUAUGAAUGUAUUUAUUUGGGAGUGGACUCCAAGAUUUAUACUGAAUGUAAAUUUUGAGUUUAAAUUUAGAGUUGAGGUCAGAACUCAACUCAAAGACGUGUUUGUUUUUUUUGGCUAAUUUAAAGACAUGUUUGUUGUAGUCGGCUAAGUUGAGAUAGUUAUUUUAAAUGAAUUGAACACUUAAAACAUUAUAAUAGUAUUCCAUAUUUCGCGCUGAUGUUAAAGGAUCGUCAUGUUUGUUUAUUCGCCACUAAUAUGGGUCGUCUUGUGUAGACGUUACGUUGACUUGAAGAUCACAAUUUUUAAUUGUUUGAUAGAUUUACGAAAACGUACAUAUUUAUCGGCUUUUAUCUUUGGAAGUAUUUUUCAUACGGAUUACAAUUAAUGGUCCUGAUUAAAAGUCAGCCCUACUAUCACUAGACUAAUCCAAUCACACAUUUUUAUUGUCUGAAUUUGUAAAGAACUCAAUUUCAGAAAAUUCGAAAAUCAUUGACAAACAGAAACGAAAAUGAAAAUGUGGAAAUAAUUUUUGAUCCACGAAGAAUUUGAUUCUUUUUUGUCAAUUAUUAUAAAAAUUAGAACGGAAUCCAAACCGGACAAAGAAAGUUUUCAUAAAGAGUUCUCAUGAAGAAACUUAUUAUAAACAAGAAAUUAAAACCCUUCUACUUUAUUAUCACAAUCACUAACUGAAUAACUGUUAGUACAUUUGAUCAACCUAAGUCUUUAUGCCAAACUUGUGAUUAGACCCAAAAAUCAUUUUUAACACUACAGUAACACAGCUUACGCCAUGUAAUUCAUAAUAUUUUAAAACUACCUAACCAAGGUAUUUUUUUAAAAAAAGUAUGUAACGAGACAUGCAUGAAGCAGAUAUAUCAACUAAAAGGUUGAGAAAAUGCAACUAAAAAUAGACCAAAACGAACAAAUAAAUAUAAAUUAUUGACAUAAUUGCCAAAGAUAAAAAUUAGGAUGUGAACGUACUCAUAUAUUUUAGUAUAUUAUUAGCGUAACGAAAAUAAACCAUUGAUCUUCACACGAAAACAGGGGCUCUUACUUAAAUGUCAAUAAAAAAAUUUGUCCUCAAAGAAAUAUCACAUUUUCAAUGAUCCUAGGACCACAAAAUAGUUUAAGCUGACAAUAAAAAAACAACACAUUAUUUCAAACUUCUUCACAAGAAACAAAGAGCAAGAAAAAUUAACAACGUGAAGUGGACACAUACUGUAUAUGCAUAUGGAAGAGGAUUUGUAAAUGAGCAACGGAAUUUGAUUGGGCAGCUAUUUAUUACUUUUAUUGAGGUUUUACCCGACUGAACAUCAGUUUCAAUUUGAUUCUAGAUAUUUCAAAUUGUUUUAUUUCCAACAAGGUUGUAAGUAGUAGUAAGGUCUUCGAAAUAUUUUUAAAUAAGUCUUUUCUAGUUUGCUACAUAUUUGACAAACAUAGUUUUUUAAAUAAAUAAACAAAUGAGAAUUUUGCAUAUAUAUAUAUAUAUAUAAUAUGUAGCAAACUACAAAAGAAUUAAUAUGAUUUAAUUUCUAUUUUUCAAGUUAGCUACUAUAGAUUUUAACCUUAUUUAUCAGUAUUUGUUUGUUUUUUUUAGAAGUCAAGUGGUUUUAACACCAAAUUUGUUUUCCUCUCACUUAGUGAUGAUAAUCGAACCCACCAAAUAGUUUUUGGUGACACUGAGGAUUUAACCUGGCAAAUAAACUCUAGUUAAUCUAUCAAGUUGAUUAGAUUUAUUUUAUUGCAGAUAAUUAUUAUUAAUAUAUUGGAGCCAUAGGACUCGGCUUCUCUGCUUCCAGAACUGUUAUUCUAGCUUCUAAGCAUGCUCUAGUUUGGCUGAGAGAGAUCCUAUAAGUUCUGGUAUUCGUUUUUUAUAUUCAGUUAUUAAAACCUUAGAUUAUCGCAAUAUUGUUUACUUUUUAUUUCUUUUAGUCAUUCUUUGCGACUUUAUUUGUAUAUAGAUAUAUCUUUGCAAGAGUACUCCAAAUUCCCCAGUCCCCACUGCAUGUGACCACAUACGUAAAUUUAAUUCUGUAUCAUAGUAACUAACAUUUACGUUAUCACAAUACAAUCCGAACAUAACCCUUCGUACAUUCGUAUCACCGUGUGCAUGUUAAAAUAUAAAUUUUCCACAAUCUAGAAUUCGAUUUUCAUAUUCAGUUAUUCAAAACCUUAGAUUGUGUCAAUAGUGUUUUGUUUUAUUUCUUUUACUAUUUCUCUGCGACUAUAUUUGUACAUAGAUAUAUCUUUGCAAGAGUGAUCAAAAUUCCCACCACAUACGUAAACUUAAUUAUGUAUCAUAGAGCUUAAUGUAACUAACAUUUACACAUUAUCACGAUUCAUAUACAAUCCGAACAUAACCCUCCAUUCGUUUCAUCGCAUGCAUGUCAAAAUAGAAAUAACCCACAUGCAAGAAUCUGAAAAUAAGACGUUGCUUACAAAACUUCUUUCGGUAAAUAGGUUGAAAAUAGAGAAAUAUAUUGCUUCACAGGUAUACAAAUGGCGAAGACGGGAAACGUUUACAAAAUGAAACUAUAAAACUCUCACAUGUUUAUUCUAUCACUUAAACAAAUUCAAACUGAAACAUUAAAACCUACCAUUCAUGCAUUUAUUCAAACAGUAAUGAUUUUAAAGAGAACACUGCGCGCAUGAAGAGUAUGGAUAGCCGCUGAUACCGCUUAAGCACAUUGGAAAUCAGACGGAAGCCUUCUGUUGCAAACGUUGAGAAGAACACUGAGAGAUAUAGGAACGUUAAGGUUGAUGCCAAGAACGUUAGCCCUAAGGGCAGUGCAGAGACAAAUCGCAGCGUCAAGGUCAACCAAACCUUGGAUGAGCGAGCAGCAUGGUUGAGCUGAUGGCUGUCCCAACUGCACGUUAAGUAGACCACUUAGGACAUUCGCACACACACCGAGUCUGAGAGCAUCGAUAGGACAGUUUCCGGAUGAACCAGGGGUUCUCGGAGGAGUGACAGGCGUAGGGUUAGGACUUGGUACCGAAGGAGUUGGAACUGAAGGAGUUGGGACUGAAGGAGUUGGGACCGAAGGACUUGGAAUCGAAGGACUUGGGUACUUAGGACUCGGGACCUUUGGACUUGGGACCGUCCUAGGCUUAGGACUUAGGUUGCAUCGACAAUCAGUAGCAGUGGUUAAGGUGAAAAAAAGGAUGUUGAGGGCAAAGAAAAGAGCAAGAGAGGUUGAGUUCUUUGAAGCCAUUGGUAUUUUCUUUAGUGUUUUAAGGAUUAUUGAUUGAGUUUGAAGAGAGAGAUGAAAAGAAAUGAAGAGAAGAUGUGCUUAUUUAUAGGGUUUUAGAAUGACGUGAAGAGGAUCCAAAUUGUUUGACUUUAAUUAUUAUUUGAAUAUUUAUAAUUCUACAAAAUAUCUGAUUUUUUAUUUGCUCAUAUUCAAAAUCUGACUUUCUUUUCCCAUUCUGUAGAUACGUAGAACCUCAAAGUAAUUUGGAACAUAGUAAUGCAUGUAAAUUAAGAAAAUAUUUGAUUCGUGCAAUUUUUUUUUUGUCAAUGCUGUUAUUAUUACCUCCAUCAUCAGUUCAUGACCUCAUUGUACAUUUUUAUAGAUUCUCUUUCGCUCAUCCCGUAUAGCUAUUUUAGUUAUUUAAGAGGAGAUAAAAUCUCACCAUACAAAAUGGUAUAUAUAAUAAAUGAAUAUUUCGCCUUUAUGUAUCCUGUUAUGCAUAAUCUAUAAAAAAUGUACAUGAAUCAAAGUAUAUAAUCUAUAAAAAUGUAGUUGAAUCUACAUAAAAUUUAUUUUUAUUUCUUUGGUCUAAAACUACGGAUUGGGCAGAAAACAUUCUUGAUGGGACAAUUCAAUCCAGCAAGGAAUUAGGUGAGACUCUUCUGCCCAUUUGUUAAAAUUCUUUAGUUACUAUUCUUUGGAUCUGAGAUGUACAAGAGGAGAAAAUUAGGUUAUCCAAUGAACCCAAGACCCACUCUAUUGACCAUAUAAAAAAAUUCAAAAUAAUAUGAUCAUCUUAAAACAAAAAUUAAGAAAGUAGAUACAUCGAAAUCAAAUUACUACAAAAAGAAUCCAUAUUUUGCGGAAAUUUAUCGCAAAUGGAAAACUUCCGACUCACUUCCUACAAAAUUAAAUUCGUUAGCUGUAAAUUAUCCGUCAAGAAAAAAUUAUGAAAGUAGAUAGAUCGAAAUCAAAUAUCUACAAAAGGUAUUAUGUAUUUUCGACAACUGUAUAUGUCAAAAAUUUAUCGUAAAUAAAGUAAACUCUGACUAAUUUCUAACAAAAUUAAAUUAAUUAGAGUUUACUGAUCCAAAACUAACUAUGUCAGAAAUUUGUCGUAAAUUAUUGAUGAAAUUAUCAUCGAAAACUCGUAUGUCGUAAGAAUAUUAGUCAGAAACUUCCAACGACAUUCAUAUAGUUAAACCUGCAUUGAUAAAAACUGGACAUAUCUUUCAAACCGAAGAUGAAUUACUAUAAAUAUUUACAUCAUUUUUUUUUUAAUCUAAUAUUAAAUUAUAUUCAAAAGAAAAAUAACGUUUUUACAAUUAGUGCAACGGGAGUUUGAAGUCCUACACAAUACUAAACUUAAAAUUGAUAAUCAUGAUGAUGAGAUUAUGAUCGACUUUGAAGCCAAGCUUGAAAACAAGUCUCAUACCACCUAUCCUUUGACCUUUUGAUUGUUGUGAAUUGAUUGCGGACUUGUGAAUCAAUCCAUUUGAUUAAUUGGCUUGGAGAGUUUGAUGGUUUGCCAUGCCACCUUCCAUUUCUUUCCCUCCAAAUGGUAUAGAGCGUUACUUGAACGACGUAUUUGAGGAGGAAGAUGUCUACUCGACUAUGAUGAUGAGCUUCGACGUAGGAUAGAAUCGCGACCAAUCAGUAGAAAAAUGUGUUUUGAACACGCCUUUUGCAAGCACAGCCCAAACCUCCGAUGCAUAAGUGCAGGAGAAGAACAGGUGCCGCAUCAUUUUGUUUCUUGCUUAAUAUAUAUCUUUGGGUUGGUUUCUAGAGUUCUUCAUUAGUUUGACAAAUUUUAUGUUUCCGAUUUCUAAAUCCAUCUAGACAAAAUUACUAUUGUAAUUUUACUUUAAUGAUUUUAAAUAAGAAACAAAGAUUUAUUUGAAAAAUAUAUGACAAAUUAUUAUUGACGAAUUCUCAAUACUACACACACACAUGGGAUAAUUAGAUAAUUUAGUUUUAAGAAUUAAAAAAAAUCGUGUAAAAGUAUUUCUAAAAAAAUAAUUAUGGCCUUGAUUUAUCUUACGUAGGAAUUUUACUUAACAACACUUGUUAAACAUGUUUACGUGAACACAUGCAUUAGGGGUAUACCUAUUAGUUUUGCAAUUCUUUUUUAUUUGGAGUUUUAGAUAUUUCAUCAUUCAAGUACUUUGACAAAAAAAAAAAAAAGUCAUCAUUCAAGUACAGUUACAUCUUUUUUUCCUUUUUAAUCAAAAAUUACAGUUACGUCUUAUAAAAAGAAUUCCAGGGUUAAACUUACACUAGUUGGAUAUAGAUUGUUGCUCUUUAGAAAAAAAAAAGAAGAAAUACAAAUACGAUUCUUUGAGAAUAAAAGUGGAAACAAGAAGCUUAUUAUUACUUUAAAUAUCAGAUUGAACAAAUUGAUAAAAAUGGAUACAGUACGAGAAGUAUAAGAAACACUUAACUGAAAAUAGGAGAAUUCAAAGAAUCUUAAUCAAGGAAAAACAUCAAAAGAUAACUUAAACAUUAUAAUCAAUCGAAGGGUGGAUAGAUAUAUCAAGCACAUACGAAACCAGAAGGAACCUUCUUGCCACAAACAUUGAGAAGAAGGCUGAGAGAGACGGGAACAUUAAGAUUAAUGCCUAAAACUUUAGCCUUUAGGGCGGUGCAGAGACAAGCGGCAGCCUCAAGAUCAACUAAACCAUUGAGGAGCGAACAACAAGGCUUCACUGGUGGUGUUCCCAACUGAAUUUUGAGAAGAUCCUUGAGAACAUUGGCGCAAACGCCGAGCUUGAGAGUGUCUUUAGGGCAGCUUCCGGUGGACUUGGGCUUAGGUUUGGGUUUAGGGGUGGAACUGCAGCCACCGCCACAUGCGGUGGUUAAAGUGAAAAAAAGAAUGUUGAAUGUGAGGAAAAUGACAAGAGAGGCUGAAAUUUUUGAAGCCAUUUCUCAAAAAAUCAAAUUUCUAUUUUAGGUAAGAAGUUUUAAGAUAGAAGUAUUGCCAAAAGAGAGUGGUGAAGAUAAAUGAAGAGAGGGUGUACGUAUAUAUAUUAGGGCUUCAAGGGGUUGGACAGUUAAUUAAAGCUGUCAUUACUGUAUAAUUUUGAAGAAUUAUUAGACAAAUUUAUAUUUUAGUAAGUGGAUCUUUGUAUUAUUAAGUGGUUAAGAUAUACUUUAUUUUUUUUUAUUGCAUUAUGAAACAAAUGUUAAAUCAUGGAUAGAUGACCCUGUUGGGCAGUCAUCGUUUUUUUCUUUUUCAAAACUUUUAUUAGUUUAGUAGUUAGAAAGUUUUUCGUUAGUCAUCUAUACAAAAAGAAGAAACAAUACAUGUUUUUUUUUCCUGGCUAAAUAUAAUAGAUGGUUUUUAACUUUAACCAAUCCAUCUUUUAUUUAUGGGCCAUAUAUAUAUAUAUAUGAAAACUGAAAAUAACGUUUUGAUGUGAAAUAUACCAAAUAUACUUAUUUAGUGCAGAGUUAACAUGAGAUAAUAUGUAUUUCUCUUUAGUUAAUAAAUGAUACUAGUUAUUUAGUACGGAGUUAACAUGAGCUAAUAUGUAUUUCUCUUUAUUUAAUCAAUGAUACUAGUUUUAUUGUAAAGUAGAUGCAUUUACAAAUAAAAGUAUUGCUCAAAUAUUUCAAUAAUGACUUUUAAUACAGUAUAUGCAUUUUCAACUGUGAACACUUUGAAAAAUAAUGGAUUUUACAUUCCGUUCGACUUUAUGUUUUCUUAAGUUGAUUCAUAUUAUAUUGGUUUUGACGUUCGACUUUAUGUUUUCUUAAGUUGAUUCAUAUUAUUUUGGGUUUGAUCUAUUUUAAAUCCAAAAAAUUACAUUUUCUUAUUUGAUUUCUUAAAAUAUUUAACUUGUUCGAGCGUCUAUUAAUUUUUUAUGUGAGUUGAUUUAAUAUUAAUUUAGAAUAAUUUGUUCUAAAACAGUCGACAAUGCUUUUCGUAGGUAAAAUUUGUAUAACAGCUGAAUUAUUUAGAAUAUUCGCUUAAAUUCAUAAUCAUCGGCUGUAUUUUCUUAUUUCAAUCUAUCUUUUGUUUUUUUUUUAUUUUAUGAACCUUAAUUAUUAAUUUUCCGUUAAAUUAAUUGUAAUGUAAUUUGUAGACUCAUAUUUAAAUUAGUCCAUGUAAUAUAUACAUUAUUUUGGUCAAAAACAAAAACACGUAGGUACACGAUUAGGUCGACGUGUUAGUUUAUUCGACUGAAAACAACUAUAUACUUAUCUUAUUCGAAAAAUUAUAGAACAAAAUAAACUAUAAUCGACGCACAUGUAUUCAAUAAUUACUCAUACUUCCCAUGUGUUGUGUAGCCCAGAAUGUAAAUAAUAGGCAUGUGUUUGGAGAUUAGUAAUUUGGAAGUUUAUUGGCUUUAAUUACCCUUCACAUUUUAUUUUUGGGAAAUUAAAAACAACUAUAAUUCAUCAAAUAACAACAAUAUUAUUCUUUUUUUUUUGUCAUCAACAAUAUUAUGCUUAUCUUAUGACAAAUAUAGCUUUGGGUUCUUGGACACUAACUUCAGGUUUCAAUCAACAUGGAGUAAACCAUUAAUCAUAUUCUAAUUAACUGUUCGCAUUUUAUUAACCCUUGGUAGUUUCUCGACGCGCUAAGUUUACAAAAUAUGGAUUUCUUCUAUUGGCGAACUCCGUCUCCGCUAAAAAAUAAAAAAGGAUACUACAGUUUUCAACGAAUUACAUAGUUUCUAUGGAAAAGUUUUUAAAAAUAAAAUAAAUAAACAAAUUUUACCAAAGAAUUAUACUGGAACCCUCAGAUUUUUUAAAUCAUGUUAUUAGCGAUCAUUUAGUUUGGGUGGCAGCUCAAAUCAGCCCAACUAAGGAUGUCAAGGAAUUAUUGUUCUUUAAGAUGUCAAGGUGAUGGUUCGUGGAAAUUAUAAUGCCUCGGCCGUAAUCGUCUGCGGCCCCACGUUUUAUUUUGGCAAGUAGAUUCGACCCCGUCCGAGACUAUUUUGGGAGGCUCGAAAGAAUUGUUUAUUGUCCUUACUUAUCGCCACUAAAUAUUUGUUGUGUUUUUUCUUCAUUAACACGGUACCCAAAAUUAAUUUCAGGCAGGUCGAACCAUCAUGAAAUAUAUAUAGUUCAAACACGUUUCACUCUACCAAAUCAAUUUUAAGUCUCUUUGUAUGCAUCACCAAAUUGUUUUUUAGAAAAGAGUUGUGUUAAAACCUCCUCACUAGCUCACAGAUCACAUUAUUGUGUAUCAAGACGGUUACUCCAACAGUGAAUUAGUGUACGUGUCUCCACACUCGUCCGGUUCGGCUCUAAUACUAGUUGUUACGCUUUCCAUGCCCUCUCUCACCAUGUGGAUUCCAUUCUUGUCCAACAGAUGGUAUGUAUAUUUGGGAGACAUUGAAAGACAUGUUUAAUGUUCCUCCUUACUCAUAUGGUAUUUAUUAUUUAACAUUGUUUUCAUUUGGUCACAUAUCCUAAAUAUCGCAAUAGUUCCAUUACGCUUAACUAUAAAAUUUUAUCGAAACGAUUAACGGAAAAUAUGCGUAUAUUUUUGUGACAUAGAUAAUCAAUCAAUUAUUUUAAACUUCUUUGAAUGUAUCUUAAUAUUUUUAAAUUCGAGGGAUUACAUUAAUCUUCUUACCCCAAAUCUGGUUUUGGAUGGAUGGAGAACUAUAAAACUUUGAACAGUUUGAGAAAUCAUAGUUUGCAUUUCAAAUAAAUGGACUGAUUAAGUUAUAUACUUGUCCCUUGUCAUUUUCGUUUUGAGAUUUGAUAUAAGUAUUUAAGGAACAUGUUUGAAUUAUUUAUUUUUUGUCAAUUAAUUUUGAAUUGAAAUUCUGGGUACAGUAUAGAGUCUAAUUGAAAAUUCAUGAUUCUUGAUACGGUAUUAGAGUCUUAACAAGCCAAAUAGAUAAAAUUGGUUCGAACAGAUGAUUAAGUUCGGUAUUAGAUGAAUGAGCCAAAGAACCAUCUUCUCGAAAUGAUAUGUUAAAAAUCCACUAGUAGAUAAAGAUUAAUAUUAGUAAUUUCAACUAUUACCGAUUUGUUUUUAUUUAGAUCUUCAGGUAUUUCUCAUUGUCUAUUUUUAUGUAUCAAAUACAAUUCUUAUAUUUUUUCCAUCAUUUGAGUAUUGUUAAUUAUUAUAAAAUAAUUCCAGGGCUACACUUUUCUAGUAUGUAUAUUUCAAUCGAUAGAUCAGGUAGACAAAGAUUCUUGCUCUUUCAACCGUUAAAAUAAUAUAAGUAAAAUUAAUGUUAGAAGAAAAGUCGAAAGAAGAAGCAGAUUAUAAUCACUUUAACAAUCUUAUUUCUGAGCAAUUUAAUUUAAAAUGUAAACAGUACAAGAAGUAGAAACAACACUGAAAAUGGGAAAAUUCAAAGAAUAUUAAUCAAAGAAAAACAUGGAAAGAAAAUUUAAAACAUUAUAACCAAUCGAAGAGUGGAUAGAUAUAUCAAGCACAUACGAAGCCGGAAGGAACCUUCUUGCCACAAACAUUGAGAAGAAGGCUGAGAGAGACGGGAACAUUAAGAUUAAUGCCUAAAACUUUAGCCUUUAGGGCGGUGCAGAGACAAGCGGCAGCCUCAAGAUCAACUAAACCAUUGAGGAGCGAACAACAAGGCUUCACUGGUGGUGUUCCCAACUGAAUUUUGAGAAGAUCCUUGAGAACAUUGGCGCAAACGCCGAGCUUGAGAGUGUCUUUAGGGCAGCUUCCGGUGGACUUGGGCUUAGGUUUGGGUUUAGGGGUGGAACUGCAGCCACCGCCACAUGCGGUGGUUAAAGUGAAAAAAAGAAUGUUGAAUGUGAGGAAAAUGACAAGAGAGGCUGAAAUUUUUGAAGCCAUUUCUCAAAAAAUCAAAUUUCUAUUUUAG
rnacentral:lncRNA from 1 species